CAUUUAUUGCAAGUACAACAUAUACAGGUUAUCAGAUACAGCCUAACGUACGGUUCAUUCUGAUUCAGCCCAACAUAUGACUUCUUCAGCAACUCCAAUGCGGUCUAACGUACGACCCCUUUGGACCUUCAAAUCCUCAGAUGCUGCCUAGCGUACGGUACAUUCAGGGGUGUAGUCUAGCGUACGACUACUUUCUUUUUCAGAUACAGCCUAGCGUACGGUUCACUCUGAUUCAGCUCAACCU
rnacentral:lncRNA from 1 species